rnacentral:rRNA from 1 species
CUACGGGGCGCUGCAGCGGGGAAUAUUGCACAAUGGAGGAAACUCUGAUGCAGCAACGCCGCGUGGAGGAUGACACUUUUCGGAGCGUAAACUCCUUUUAUAUAGGAAGAUAAUGACGGUACUAUGUGAAUAAGCACCGGCUAACUCCGUGCCAGCAGCCGCGGUAAUACGGAGGGUGCAAGCGUUACUCGGAAUCACUGGGCGUAAAGAGCGUGUAGGCGGGUUAAUAAGUCAGAAGUGAAAUCCUAUGGCUCAACCAUAGAACUGCUUUUGAAACUGUUAACCUAGAGUGUGGGAGAGGUAGAUGGAAUUUCUGGUGUAGGGGUAAAAUCCGUAGAGAUCAGAAGGAAUACCGAUUGCGAAGGCGAUCUACUGGAACAUAACUGACGCUGAGACGCGAAAGCGUGGGGAGCAAACAGGAUUAGAUACCCCUGUAGUC